rnacentral:rRNA from 1 species
CAGCCGCCGCGGUAAAACCAGCACCUCAAGUGGUCAGGAUGAUUAUUGGGCCUAAAGCAUCCGUAGCCGGCUCUGUAAGUUUUCGGUUAAAUCUGUACGCUCAACGUACAGGCUGCCGGGAAUACUGCAGAGCUAGGGAGUGGGAGAGGUAGACGGUACUCGGUAGGAAGGGGUAAAAUCCUCUGAUCUAUUGAUGACCACCUGUGGCGAAGGCGGUCUACCAGAACACGUCCGACGGUGAGGGAUGAAAGCUGGGGGAGCAAACCGGAUUAGAUACCCGGGUAGUCCCAGCUGUAAACUAUGCAAACUCAGUGAUGCAUUGGCUUGUGGCCAAUGCAGUGCUGCAGGGAAGCCGUUAAGUUUGCCGCCUGGGAAGUACGUACGCAAGUAUGAAACUUAAAGGAAUUGGCGGGGGAGCAC